rnacentral:lncRNA from 1 species
CCGCUUUUCCUCCCCUUACUGAGCCACACAGCAAAUCUAAGUCUGAAGACUCUCUUCUUACCAGCCUCUGCAUUUAUGUGGAAUUGGCACCGUCAUCAUCGUAGAUCAGUCACCCUGUGAAACAGAUGUUGCUGUCAUCCUCAUGCUAUUGACAAGCGAAGCUCAGAGAGGUUGAAGGAUUAUGGCUGGUUUAUGUUCAAGUUCAAUAAUUCUCCCACCGUCUUCAUUCUAUCAAGUCAUCCAGUGAAUUCUUACUCAGGGUAUUCUGUAGGAGUUUGAGCCUUGGUGGAGCAGGGUUCCUGAGAUACUGCCCUUCCUACUACAUCAGAGCACUGCUUACCGGGAAUCUGGUCACAGCGUGAGUGGUUCCAGUGGAAGAGGACACAGGGCCAGUUCCUGGAAAAUUGAAUGCACAAAAUUAUCCAGAAGUUACAGCUUUGUGUUUGUAUAUCGGCCCCACAGAAAAGACUGGGCUUCAUCAUCUGCAACUGAGCAAAACUGAAAGUUUUACAGAUAUGUCUGUGACUACGUGAGGAAUAAGUUUUUCUUUCUGUACCAAACUGUGAAGGACUGGCAUCUAUUGGAAGAAAUGAUUUAUUGGUGUGUGGAAAAUCAGUGGCGGGAAGAAUCUCUUACAUUAGGCCCCCGAGGAGGCCUCCAGCCCCUCAAAGGUGCAGGAACUCAAUGCAUGGGUGUCUGGUUGAAUGAAUGACAGGACAUGAGGCUCCACGCUGAGGGAGGAAAAUAUCCCUGAACAGCAUUAGAUCCACACUGUUCAUUCAGAUUCUCAUCUGGGCAGCACCUCCCACCCCACCCCAGGAUGAUGAGAAAAUCAUACAGCAUUUUGUCACCAUUGCAGGGGUGCUACUGGCAUCUAGUGGGUAGAGGACAGAGACUGCUGCUGAACACACUACGUUUAUAAAGCUCAGGACAAUUCCCAUCACAAAGAAUUAUCCAACUCCAAAUGCCAGUAGUGCUGAGGAUGAGACACCCCAUAGCCCAGGCCAGAGUGCAGUAUGGGCCAGAAUUGUUCUCUGGCCUCCAGCACUAGCCUGAGUGCAGAACCUACAUCAUUGGCCACAACAGAGGAAGAACAAAAGGACACUGAUGGGCUCUUGCAAAUGUAUCUCCCUGGAGAGAUGCAAACCAAGAACUUGUUUACUCUCAGCUGAGUGUGGAUCAAGCUGGAAGCGCUCUGAUUUCCUGUGGUGGUUACUUGAUACUGCGACUUACAGCCCUGUCCACCCCAGUCUCCUUUCUUGUUCUGUCUGUUGCUUGGUGACAUGAUGGGGAACACUGUGUUUCCUGCAUGCCUUUGAUGUCCAGUUCCUCUCAGUGUCCCUGACUUUGCUGACAUCACCUGAAGCAUUGGGUCACCUGUGCAGAGGUAGCUGCAGUCGCUGGCCACACAAGCACCUUUGGACCUCACGCCAAACACACCAAAUUCGCGUCUCAGUGGAACCUGGCCCAAGAAUCUGCAUUUAAGCCAGAGUCCCAGCUGAUUUUGAUGCAUGUUAAAGUCUGACAGGAUGUAUGAAGUAACAGAAACACAGUGCUUUCUCUUCUUUUAAAGGCUGUUUGUAAAAUGGUUGGGAAAACAUACUGGGUUCUCAGGAUGUGCUUUGAACGUAUUGAGUUCAAAUUUUAGAGAUUAUGAAGUGAAGGCAUCAGAAGCUGAAACAGUUCACUCUUAGGGAAUCACUGGACGCUGGUGAGGCCUUGCCUCCCCUCUCCCGGUAGAUGUGGUGCCACAUUCUGCCUCUCCAGCCAGAAUGAAUUUACCAGUUCACUGUCACAUUCAAUGAAACAGACUGAGUUUGCUGGGUUGUCAUCCAUCCCAAGCUUAGCAUGGACCUCACCGUAACCAUCUCAGUACCCACAGCACUGAGCAGGGCACCGUGGUGUCUACCUUCUCUGCCACCACCCACUCCAAGGCCCUGUCACUGGUCACCUUGAUGCUAGCAACAAUGGCCUAACUUAGUCCUCCCCGGCCCUGCUCAGCAUCUCUAUGCCUUAUGCAUUCUUAACAAGAUUCAUACUGGCUUUGGGGGAGAUGUUGCCUUCUACGGACACACAUGAAUACGCACCCUGAAAUCUAACAGUUUCCUCCAUGCUUUAUCCCCAGCCCAUCCUACAGGGUUCUGCUCACCCAGCUACCUAGCCCUCUGGCCUGCAGCUCUUCUGUCAUGACACGCCUGUCUCCUUCAAGCUCUUCACUUUACCCUGUGCCCCUGCUCCAAACAUGCAGGAUCGUACUUCCCUCUUCUUUUGCUUUGGUCCUGUUUUCAAUAUUAACUCCUAAGAGAUGCCUCGAGGGCUCAUGCUCUCUCUCUCUCUCCCAC